CCUACGGGUGGCAGCAGUGAGGAAUAUUGGUCAAUGGGCGCGAGCCUGAACCAGCCAAGUAGCGUGAAGGAUGACGGCCCUAUGGGUUGUAAACUUCUUUUAUAUGGGAAUAAAGUUUGGUAUGCAUACCAUUUUGUAUGUACCAUAUGAAUAAGGAUCGGCUAACUCCGUGCCAGCAGCCGCGGUAAUACGGAGGAUCCGAGCGUUAUCCGGAUUUAUUGGGUUUAAAGGGAGCGUAGGUGGAUUGUUAAGUCAGUUGUGAAAGUUUGCGGCUCAACCGUAAAAUUGCAGUUGAAACUGGCAGUCUUGAGUACAGUAGAGGUGGGCGGAAUUCGUGGUGUAGCGGUGAAAUGCUUAGAUAUCACGAAGAACUCCGAUUGCGAAGGCAGCUCACUGGACUGUUGACUGACACUGAGGCUCGAAAGUGUGGGUAUCAAACAGGAUUAGAUACCCGAGUAGUCU
rnacentral:rRNA from 1 species